rnacentral:rRNA from 1 species
GCCGGGGGGGCUGCUAUACAUGCAAGUCGAGCGGAUCUUGUCCUUCGGGGAUAAGGUUAGCGGCGGACGGGUGAGUAACACGUAGGCAACCUGCCCUCGAGACUGGGAUAACCUCCGGAAACGGAUGCUAAUACCAGAUACGCGAUCUUCCCUCCUGGGGAGAUCGGGAAAGACGGAGCAAUCUGUUACUCGGGGAUGGGCCUGCGGCGCAUUAGCUAGUUGGUGAGGUAACGGCUCACCAAGGCGACGAUGCGUAGCCGACCUGAGAGGGUGAUCGGCCACACUGGGACUGAGACACGGCCCAGACUCCUACGGGAGGCAGCAGUAGGGAAUCUUCCGCAAUGGACGAAAGUCUGACGGAGCAACGCCGCGUGAGUGAGGAAGGCCCUCGGGUCGUAAAGCUCUGUUGCCAGGGAAGAACGCUUGGGAGAGUAACUGCUCCCAAGGUGACGGUACCUGAGAAGAAAGCCCCGGCUAACUACGUGCCAGCAGCCGCGGUAAUACGUAGGGGGCAAGCGUUGUCCGGAAUUAUUGGGCGUAAAGCGCGCGCAGCGGCUUUGUAAAGUCCCGUGGUUUAUCUGGGGCUUCACCCCAAGUCGCACGGGAAACUGCAAGCUUGAUGCCAGAGGAGGAAAGUGGGAAUUUCCACUUUAGCCGUGGAAAGGGGAAGAGAGGGGAGGAACCACCGUGGCGGAAGGGGCCUUUUUGGCUGGUAACUACGGUGGGGCGGGGAAAGCGUGGGGGCCAACCAGGAUUAGUUACCUUGUUAUUCCACCCGGUAACCGAUGAUUGUUAGUGGUUAGGGGUUUGAUUACCUUGGGUGCGGAAGUUAACCAAUUAAGCAUUCCCCCUGGGGAGUACGUUGCCAGGAGUGAACUUCAAAGGAAUGGCGGGGGCCCCCCCCAAGCAGUGGGGUAGGGGUUUUAUUUGGAACCACCGGGAGGACCCUUCCCAGUUUUGGCCAUCCUUUGGAAUCCGUAAAAAAAAGAGCGGCCUUUGGGGCCGAAGAAACCAGGGGGGCCAGGUUGUUGUUCACUUGGGUUGGGGGAAGGUGGGGUUAAUUCCCCCACGAAGGCCACCCCUGAAAUCCAUUUCCCACCAGUUAGGAUGGGCACUCUGAAUUGACUGCCGGUGACAAACCGGAGGAAGGCGGGGAUGACGUCAAAUCAUCAUGCCCCUUAUGACCUGGGCUACACACGUACUACAAUGGCCGGUACAACGGGCCGCGAAGCCGCGAGGCGGAGCCAAUCCUUAAAAGCCGGUCUCAGUUCGGAUUGCAGGCUGCAACUCGCCUGCAUGAAGUCGGAAUUGCUAGUAAUCGCGGAUCAGCAUGCCGCGGUGAAUACGUUCCCGGGUCUUGUACACACCGCCCGUCACACCACGAGAGUUUACAACACCCGAAGUCGGUGGGGUAACCCGCAAGGGAGCCAGCCGCCGAAGGGUUGGAUAAUUU